CUAUGCGCCUUGCCAGCCCGCUCAGGUGUGCCAGCCGCCGCGGUAAUACGUAGGUGGCAAGCAUUGUCCGGAUUUACUGGGUGUAAAGGGCGUGUAGGCGGGAGUGCAAGUCAGAUGUGAAAACUAUGGGCUCAACCCAUAGCCUGCAUUUGAAACUGUACUUCUUGAGUGCUGGAGAGGCAAUCGGAAUUCCGUGUGUAGCGGUGAAAUGCGUAGAUAUACGGAGGAACACCAGUGGCGAAGGCGGAUUGCUGGACAGUAACUGACGCUGAGGCGCGAAAGCGUGGGGAGCAAACAGG
rnacentral:rRNA from 1 species